rnacentral:tmRNA from 1 species
GGGGACGAAAGGAUUUCGACGGGGAUUUUGAACCGUGAUAAGCGAGCAGCGGCGAGGAACCGCUAUAAACUCCUCAAGUUUAGAAAUAAACGACAACAAUACAGUUUUACGCGCUGCCUAAUUUAAGGUAGCUGUUCCCCGGGGGAGUACUGCGGCCCCUGACGGAGCAUCAAGCAGCAGUAAAUGUGAACGGAUGAGCGUCCCGUAUUCCGUCACAGACAACGGGACUACCGAAGCUUAAAGCCUGCCGUCAGGCGUUUUGCAGAGGGAAUUACAAUUUAACGGCUACGCUCGUAGAAGGUUACGGUAAGAGGUUUUCGGACGCGGUUUCGACUACCGCCGUCUCCACCA